CUUCCAUGUGGGACACGAGCCCUUGAUGCCUGAUAAAGCCUGAAAGCCACAGUCUGCCCUGGAAACCCAGCUCCAGCCUGCUUCCGCCACAUCAGGAGGGGAAGGAGGAAAUUGAAAGUGUGAAACACCAGUGGGAGGAAAAGGUUCCUCUAACAAAUGUGGUUAUCAAUGGGAUAGAAGCUUUCUAGAGCUUAUAUAUGGGGCCGAGUCAUGCACACUUCAUCAUAUUCACCAGGGGAUGACCCAGAGCACCAUUCUUCUCUGGUCUGACACCUUCAUCCUCCACUUUCUGCCUCCUUUGCAGUGACCAUACAGGUGCAGAGCACAAGCAGGACGCACAGGGGUUUAUGUGGUCAGGCCUGCCUGGAGUUGGCACACAGCAUUUCUGCUUACAUUCUUAGGUCUGAAAUCCAGGUCACAGAGCCCUAACAUAACUACAAAGGAUCCUGAAAAAUGUUGUAUUCCAGUGUACGUCGGAAAAGAAAAUGGGAUUGAUAAACUUUGAUUAGACUAAA